rnacentral:rRNA from 1 species
AACAGGAUUAGAUACCCUGGUAGUCCACGCCCUAAACGAUGUCAACUAGUUGUCGGGUCUUAAUUGACUUGGUAACGCAGCUAACGCGUGAAGUUGACCGCCUGGGGAGUACGGUCGCAAGAUUAAAACUCAAAGGAAUUGACGGGGACCCGCACAAGCGGUGGAUGAUGUGGAUUAAUUCGAUGCAACGCGAAAAACCUUACCUACCCUUGACAUGGCAGGAAUCCUUGAGAGAUCAGGGAGUGCUCGAAAGAGAACCUGCACACAGGUGCUGCAUGGCUGUCGUCAGCUCGUGUCGUGGGAUGUUGGGUUAAGUCCCGCAACGAGCGCAACCCUUGUCAUUAGUUGCUACGAAAGGGCACUCUAAUGAGACUGCCGGUGACAAACCGGAGGAAGGUGGGGAUGACGUCAAGUCCUCAUGGCCCUUAUGGGUAGGGCUUCACACGUCAUACAAUGGUACAUACAGAGGGCCGCCAACCCGCGAGGGGGAGCUAAUCCCAGAAAGUGUAUCGUAGUCCGGAUUGCAGUCUGCAACUCGACUGCAUGAAGUUGGAAUCGCUAGUAAUCGCGGAUCAGCAUGUCGCGGUGAAUACGUUCCCGGGUCUUGUACACACCGCCCGUCACACCAUGGGAGCGGGUUUUACCCGAAGUAGGUAGCUUAACCGCAAGGAGGGCGCUUACCACGGUAGGAUUCGUGACUGGGGUGAAGUCGUAACAAGGUAACC